rnacentral:lncRNA from 1 species
CUACGAAUGCUAGACAGUCGAGAGUAAACCUACAAAGGUGUAGGAGGGAACUCACAGAGGGGACUUGGGAACGCGGGGGGAAAGAGAAGGGGUGAGGGCAGUCGCCCGACCUCGUUUAAUGGGACACAGGAAACGGAAAUGCCCCGGGACCACCGGCGGUCACACUUCCCUGUAACCCAAAGGCCGAGUCCGCGCUCGGUCUCGGCUCAGGGCCGGAGAAACGCGGAGCGGCCCCGACUGCUGGAAAUGACAGCGGCACUUUCUCUCCGUCCCCUCGGGCUCCCCGCUGCAUCCCCGCGGCGGGGCAGGCCGGGAGCGGGGCCGACACGCCUCCGGCAGUGGCAGGGACGCAAACAGACGGGUCCGGAGGAAGGAAACUCCGGCAACGACGAGAUCACUGGACAAUAUGAAUGCUCUGCCUCAGUAAAGCACAAAACCUACAAAGCUACCUGGAACAUGUGAGCAAGAGGAAUUUCAUCUCCCACCUUGGUGACCUGUUGAACAUCAAAGUUAGUGUUUAUUGCAUGUGUGGCUGAAGUCUUUGGGGAAAAGCUAAUGAUGUUAUUAAAGCAUUUAACAGUACAUUUGAUGUGGAGAAGGGCUUUGUGAAAGUAUCCUAUAAGUAUUACCCUUGAAGAUGUCUGUAGUGGCCAGAAAAGGAAGCUCAAGAACUUUCUGAACAAAGCUUUUUAUCCUCAAAGGGACUCCUUGGUGAUACCUUGCAUGAAGAAGCCAUCUAAAUAAUUAUAUCUAAUUACUGUAUUUUAAACAAAAACUUUUAAAACAAAUUAUUGAGCUGUUUUUGGCUGUGGCUAGAAAUACCUGCAAAAAAGAACUGAUCCAUUCUAAGUUUCCAGUGACCAGACAAAUUGCUUAAAUCCAGCCUUGUUAAUAAUGCAAGCAACCAUGUCCUUCCCAAACAGACCUGUGAGUAGUAGUAAAGUAAGAAAAGGCUCUCAGGUCAAGAGUUCUUCAGAAAUUUAUUGUUCUGGGGGGAUUCUCAUACACCUGCCUUUUGUGCAGGGCUUCCUUUCUGAGCAGGAUGAGGCUGCAGGUGCCAAAUUCCAGUCUCAGUUUAGCAGAUACAGCUCUCUGGCUUUAGUUCUGCCCUAGUUGGUCUGGUGAUGACAAAAUACCAUGAUUAAUAUGAUCAGCACUUCCUGAAUCCCAAAGGACUGGCCACAGAUGAGUUUGUAGCAAAUAUAAAUUGAUAAUUAACACUCUCCAAAUUCCCUAAUUAAUGCAGACCAGGGAACUGUUACAGUGUUAAGUUAUCUUAACUUUCCAUACUCAGUUUGUCCUUUGACAAUCCAAGAGGAGUUUAUUUCAAACAAGGGAUGUGAUUAGCUAAUGCUGAGAAGAAUAUUGGGAUUAUCAGCAACAGCAGUCCUGGGGAAAGCAGUUCAAUCAGUAUUUAGUUUACCACUUGAUUUCCUAAUGAUUUAUUCCAACAGCAAAGACU